rnacentral:lncRNA from 1 species
GAAAUGUAUUUAUUUAAUUAAUAUUAUUUUUAAGGCUUUAAUUUUGUAAGAUCUAACGGUUGUUUAGUUGUAUUAUUUUUAUUUAUUUAUUUAUUUAUUGAUAGAAAGGAACAGCUUUAUUUAAGAUGAUCCAAUAGAUGCAGACCAUACACCAACCACGUUGCCUGAUACAUAGAAGAGAAACUAUGACAUGAAUAAAGACAAGACAAACCAAAAUAUAUAAAUAACAUAAGGAGUAGAAGACACUUGUAAGCAAACAUAUUUAAUAUUGACAUACAGAACAUGAGCAAAACUGAAAAGCUGAGUGACAGAUUAGCCAGUGCCAGUAGAUAGCAUGAGCACCGUCGAUGAAGUGGAGGAGCCAA